CUACUACUCCCUCCAUUCCAAAUUACUCGUCGCAGAAAUGGAUGUAUCUAGAACUAAAAUACAUCUAGAUACAUCCAUACUUGUGACAAGUAAUUCGGGAUAGAGGGAGUACUUG
rnacentral:pre_miRNA from 1 species